ACUUCGGUAAUGACGUUGGGGCAGCGAGCGGCGGAUGGGUGAGUAACGCGUGGGGAACCUGCCCCUAAGUCUGGGAUACCAUUUGGAAACAGGUGCUAAUACCGGAUAAUAAAGCGGAUCGCAUGAUCAGCUUUUGAAAGGCGGCGUAAGCUGUCGCUAAGGGAUGGCCCCGCGGUGCAUUAGCUAGUUGGUAAGGUAACGGCUUACCAAGGCGACGAUGCAUAGCCGAGUUGAGAGACUGAUCGGCCACAUUGGGACUGAGACACGGCCCAAACUCCUACGGGAGGCAGCAGUAGGGAAUCUUCCACAAUGGACGCAAGUCUGAUGGAGCAACGCCGCGUGAGUGAGGAAGGUUUUCGGAUCGUAAAGCUCUGUUGUUGGUGAAGAAGGAUAGAGGUAGUAACUGGCCUUUAUUUGACGGUAAUCAACCAGAAAGUCACGGCUAACUACGUGCCAGCAGCCGCGGUAAUACGUAGGUGGCAAGCGUUGUCCGGAUUUAUUGGGCGUAAAGCGAGCGCAGGCGGAAAAAUAAGUCUAAUGUGAAAGCCCUCGGCUUAACCGAGGAACUGCAUCGGAAACUGUUUUUCUUGAGUGCAGAAGAGGAGAGUGGAACUCCAUGUGUAGCGGUGGAAUGCGUAGAUAUAUGGAAGAACACCAGUGGCGAAGGCGGCUCUCUGGUCUGCAACUGACGCUGAGGCUCGAAAGCAUGGGUAGCGAACAGGAUUAGAUACCCUGGUAGUCCAUGCCGUAAACGAUGAGUGCUAAGUGUUGGGA
rnacentral:rRNA from 1 species